AAAUUCUCGGGAUGGCCUAAUUACAGGGGAAGUGCUGCCGAAUUUUUCUGUAGAAUUUAAUGAUUAGCUGGAAUGAAUGGCUAAAUGCCCUUAUCUAAUGUUUGGUGUUCGUUGGCGUAUUGUAGACCUUGGGGAGCCCGAGGCGUAGAUUGGAUAUUUACUUAAGAUUGGCUAUCUUGAGUGCGUUCGAGGUACAGACGCACAGUUCGGUGAUCCCCCAGUUUAGGACAUCCCCAUCAGCUGUUUGGAGUGCUCUUCUCAUUUCAGAGCAUACACUUUUGGUAUAUACUUUUGUUCGUUAUGUAUGUAUAUAUAUUUGUUCCGGGUACGGCGGGGCCCUGUUCCGCCAUAUGAUUCGUUUGGUCUGUUUAGAGGUCUGUAGACUUAUUUGUGGGUGUGUGUGCCUACUUCUGUACAGUUGUGUCCAUAUGAUCUCCUUCGUUAUGGCAGCCUUGUCGGCAUGCAUUUUGUA